CUUACGCAAUAUCCUCGUGACGGGGCUAACGGUGACGAGAAUACGCCCCAAACUACAACACGUGCGGCGGUGUCGACCCCCUGCUGUAGCCGACUGAGCGCUCUACAUUUUUCGUUUGUUACUCUACACUCAGACACGCCAAAGGACCGUUCUGUAUCAACAAGAGUUUCUGAAGUUGGUUGGGCAAACCUUACAGCCGCAUAUAUCUCCUUUGCGCGCUCUCUCUUCCACAUAAUGGAUCAUUCUAAAUCAAAUGCUGUCGCGGUUAACGUAGUGAACGGACAUUCUAAAAGUGAUGAAGCUUCGGUAACCGAAUCCACCGUAGAGUCACCCGUGUUUUGCUGCGGCUGUCUGAGGCGGAUCAGAGGCUGGAUCCCCGUGCAUUAUAAAGAAGAGAUUGGCCAAAUUCUGAAACUAACGGGACCGGUGGUUAUAUCCCAGCUGAUGAUCUUUCUGAUCAGUUUUGUCAGCACUGUGUUCUGUGGUCACCUGGGGAAGACUGAGCUGGCUGGGGUGGCACUGGCUAUAGCGGUGAUCAAUGUCACCGGCCUCUCCAUUGGCUCUGGCCUGGCAUCAGCCUGUGACACUCUCAUAUCUCAGACAUUUGGCAGUGGUAAUAUGAAUCGUGUUGGCAUGAUUCUACAAAGGGGGGUUCUGAUUCUUCUCCUGGCCUGCUUCCCCUGCUGGGCUCUCCUCAUCAACACUGAACCCAUCCUAUUGGCUGUUAAACAGAGCCCGGAGGUCGCCAGGCUCUCCCAGCUGUAUGUGAUGAUCUUCAUGCCAGCCUUGCCGGCUGCCUUCAUGUUCCUGCUGCAGGGGAAAUAUCUGCAGAAUCAGGGUAUCAUCUGGCCUACCGUGCUAGUAGGAGUGGUGGGGAACAUUCUCAAUGCUCUCAUCAACUACAUCUUCCUCUAUGUGCUGGACCUGGGCGUAGCUGGUUCUGCUGCAGCCAACUCCAUCUCCCAGUACUCCCUGGCUGUCUUUCUCUACUGCUAUAUUGUCUGGCAGGGUCUGCACAAGGCCACCUGGGAAGGUUGGUCAGCUGACUGCCUGCAGGAGUGGGGUCAGUUCAUCACACUGGCCAUCCCAAGUAUGCUAAUGCUGUGUUUGGAAUGGUGGACCUAUGAGAUCGGCGGUUUCCUGGCAGGUCUUAUCAGUGAGGUGGAGUUGGGGGCUCAGUCUGUUGUCUAUCAGCUAGCUGUCAUCACCUACAUGUUUCCUCUUGGAUUCUCAGUAGCAGCCAGUGUGAGGGUGGGCAACGCUCUGGGUGCAGGGAACACAGAACAGGCCAAGCUGUCUGGGAAGGUUGCCUCCAUCUGUGCAUUCAUCGUCUCGUGUUUUGUCAGUACGUUUGUCCUCGUGACUAAAGACGUGAUGGGGUACAUCUUUACCACAGAGCAGGACAUUGUGAAGAGGGUGGCUGACAUCAUGAUCCUGUAUGGCUUCUUCCAUCUGGCAGACACCUUCGUGGGCGUAAUGGGCGGUGUCGUGCGUGGAGCAGGAAAGCAGAAGAUUGGAGCGUUGUGUAAUCUGGUGGGGUACUACUUCAUUGGCUUCCCCAUCGGAGUCUCCCUCAUGUUCCCUAACAAGAUGGGCAUCAUAGGUUUGUGGAUAGGCCUAUUCACCUGUGUGUUAAUCCAGUCCUUGUUCUUGGUAGUUCUGCUGUGUAAACUGGACUGGAAAAAAGCCAGUCAAGAGGCUCUGGUGAGGGCAGGAGUCCAGCUCCCUGAAAUGAAAGAAGAGCAGUUUGGACUGGAGAAGAGAGGCUGGUCGGAGGCGGUCCCACCCAGCGACGAGAGCCCUGGGGAGGGAAAGACGGACGUGGAGGGGCUGGGUGGGGACAGGGGGCAAGGCGGGGGGGAGUUAGAGGCUGAGGCGGGGCCGGUGGUCAGUACGGUGAGGUUGACUGUCAGACAGCUGGUGCUUCGUCGUGGGCUAGUUGUCAUCCUCAUGUUCCUCAUCCUCACCGCUGGAAUCCUCCUCAGUGAACUGCUCACCAGCCUGCUGCUCGGAUAAACUGAGCCAAAGAGAUUACCCACAGCCACAUAUACAGUACAGGAGGUUACUACAGCCACAUAUACAGUACAGGAGGUUACUACAGCCACAUAUACAGUACAGGAGGUUAUACAGCCACAUAUGCAGUACAGGAGUUUACCACAGCCACAUAUACAAUACAGGAGGUUACCCACAGCCACAUAUACAGUACAGGAGGUUACUCACAACCACAUAUACAGGAGGUUACAGUCAAACACAUAUACAGGACUUUACAGUCAACCACAUAUACAGUACAGGAGGAUACCCUCAACCACAUAUACAGGAGAUUACAAUCAACCACAUAUACUGUACAGGGGGUUACAGUCAACCACAUAUACAGGAGGUUACACACAACCACAUAUACAGUACAGGAGGCUACACACAACCACAUAUACAGUACAGGAGGUUACCCACAGCCACAUAUACAGUACAGGAGGUUACCACAGCCACAUAUUCAAUACAAGAGGUUACCACAGCCACAUAUACAGUGCAGGAGAUUACCCACAGCCACAUGUACAGUACAGGAGGUUACCCACAGCCAGAUAUACAGUACAGGAGGUUACUCACAGCGACAAAUACAGUACAGGAGGUUUCCCACAGUACAGGAGGUUACCACAGCCACAUAUACAGUACAGGAGGUUUCCCACAGUACAGGAGGUUACCCACAGCCACAUAUACAGUACAGGAGGUUACCCACAGCCACAUAUGCAGUACAGGAGGUUACCCAUUGUACAGGAGGUUACCCACAGCCACUUAUAUAGUACAGGAGCUUUCCCACACCCAGAUAUACAGUACAGGAGGUUACCCACAGCCACAUAUGCAGUACAGGAGUCAACCACAUAUAUAGUACAGGGAGCUACAGUCAACCACAUAUACAGGAGGUUACACACAACCACAUAUACAGUACAGGAGGUUACCACAGCCACAUAUUCAAUACAAGAGGUUACCACAGCCACAUAUGCAGUGCAGGAGAUUACCCACAGCCACAUAUGCAGUACAGGAGGUUUCCCACAGUACAGAAGGUUACCCACAGCCACAUAUAUAGUACAGGAGCUUUCCCACAGCCAGAUAUACAGUACAGUAGGUUACCCACAGCCACAUAUGCAGUACAGGAGGUUACCCACAGUACAGGAGGUUACCCACAGCCACAUAUAUAGUACAGGAGAAUACCCAUAGUACAGGAGAUUACCCACAGCCACACAUACAGUGCAGGAGGUUACUACAGUCACAUUUACAAUACAGGAGGUUACCCACAGCCACAUAUACAGUACAGGAGGUUACCCACAGCCACAUAUACAGGAGGUUACUCACAACCACAUAAACAGGAGGUUACAGUCGACCACAUAUCCUGGAGGUUACAGUCAACCACAUAUACAGUACAGGAGAUUACAGUCAACCACAUAUGCAGUACAGGAGGUUACCCACAGUACAGGAGGUUACCCACAGCCACAUAUAUAGUACAGGAGGUUACCCAUAGUACAGGAGAUUACCCACAGCCACACAUACAGUGCAGGAGGUUACCACAGCCACAUGUACAAUACAGGAGGUUACCCACAGCCACAUAUACUAUACAGGAGGUUACUACAGUCAGAUUUACAAUACAGGAGAUUACCCACAGCCACAUAUACAGUACAGGAGGUUACCCACAGCCACAUAUACAGGAGGUUACUCACAACCACAUAUACAGGAGGUUACAGUCAACCACAUAUACAGUACAGGAGAUUAGGCAACCACAUAUACAGUACAUGAGCCAUAUGUAUUUAAACCAAAGAUGGUACUCACACAGCCAUACAGGAGUUACUGUAUGACCCAAAUAUACAUAUACAGUACAGGAGGUUACAGUCAACCACAUAUACAUGAGCCAUAUGUAUUUAAACCAAAGAUGGUACUCACACAGCCAUACAGGAGUUACUGUAUGACCCAAAGGGUUCCCUGCUGUGGACAUUUAAUCAUGGACAAUAGAAGGGAAUGAUCACUAACCCAGAAGGCAACAUUUGGCACAUUAUGUCGUCUUAAUAAUGUAAUUUACUGGUUAUUAACUGGAUAAGAAUUUGUAUAGCCAGAUGACAACCCUGGUCUCUGUUACCAGUUAGACAUAUCUUGACAAGAUCAGGAUGGGAAGGACCUUUCAUUUUGGUUGUUAUCAGAUUACAGACAGUAUUUUCCUGGUUGGUAAAAAGACGUUAAGGAAACUUCCUACAACCGGUAUACAACCUGACCAGUUUUGCCCACUGGGAACAGGUUCAGGGUUGGUCAUCCCUUGAAGGUUAUUAACACUGUUAGCAUUGCAGGGCAUGUCGGAAUGGCUUCCACUGACUUGAGAAGGUUGUGGAAACAAUGCUCUUAAUUAGAUAAGGAGAUGUGUGUUCGGUAACAAAGCUCUUUUUUAAGGAGAUGUUUUUCUGGUGGCUACUAAUAACAACAAGUCUGUUGUGUUUUGAAGUGGAGCUGGUUCCCUAUUCUGCUUUUCACGUUCUGUCAUCAUUAAAUUAAAUUUGCAUAAA